AUUGAACGCUGGCGGCAUGCCUUACACAUGCAAGUCGAACGGCAGCACGGGAGCAAUCCUGGUGGCGAGUGGCGAACGGGUGAGUAAUAUAUCGGAACGUGCCCAGUCGUGGGGGAUAACGUAGCGAAAGCUACGCUAAUACCGCAUACGAUCUAUGGAUGAAAGCGGGGGAUCGCAAGACCUCGCGCGAUUGGAGCGGCCGAUAUCAGAUUAGGUAGUUGGUGAGGUAAAGGCUCACCAAGCCAACGAUCUGUAGCUGGUCUGAGAGGACGACCAGCGACACUGGGACUGAGACACGGCCCAGACUCCUACGGGAGGCAGCAGUGGGGAAUUUUGGACAAUGGGCGCAAGCCUGAUCCAGCAAUGCCGCGUGCAGGAUGAAGGCCUUCGGGUUGUAAACUGCUUUUGUACGGAACGAAACGGCGAGCUCUAAUACAGUUUGCUAAUGACGGUACCGUAAGAAUAAGCACCGGCUAACUACGUGCCAGCAGCCGCCGUAA
rnacentral:rRNA from 1 species